rnacentral:lncRNA from 1 species
UGAGAUGAAUGAUAAAGAAUAGAGUAUUUUGAGAUUUGUUCAAGUUGAUGAAUAACAGAUGAUAGAGUGCUUUGAGAUCCAUACAAAUAGAUGGAUAACAGAGGAUGGAGUAUUUUGAUAUCUAUAUAGGUGGAUGGAUGAUAUGGAGCGCUUUAAGAUUUAUGCAGAUGGAUGGUUCAUAUAAGGCUUUGAGAUCUAUACCGAUAGAUAAAUAACAAAAGAUGGAGACUUUUGAGAUCUGUGCAGGUAGAUGGAUAAAUAGAGAAUGAAGUGCUUUGAAAACUAUACAAAUGGAUGAACGACAAACAAUAAAGUUUGUUGAGAUACCUCAGGAACAUAGAUAAUAGAGGAUGACAGCUGUGAAAUCUAUACUGGUGGAUGAAUGAUAUGUAGGAUAGAUUGCUUUGAGACCUAUAUAGGAGGAUAAAUGAUAGAGUAUAGAAUGUUUUGAUAUCUGUGUAAGUGAUGGAUGAUAGGAUAGAGUCUUUUGAUAUCCAUUCAGGCAGAUAAAUAAUAGAGAAUAGAGC